UAUAAUUUUUCUUCUAAGAUUGAACUUAAUAUACACUUAUACAAACUAAGUGUUGCUUUUUCGAAAUGUUGCGAACACAUUUUCAAAAAGUUUGGUCAAAAGUAGAUUCAUUUCUCUUUCGGUUUUUGCAGUUUUAACUCUAGCUGAUUAUGUACCUGGAUAUAAAGUGGCUGCGUUGAUAGAAGUUUUUGACCGUAACUUACUGGGCUCUUUUCUUCUGGCUAACGUGCUAACAGGAUUGGUUAACCUGUCCAUUGAUACCCUCUCUGUCUCACCAUUCACUGCACUUGCUAUCUUGGUUGGAUAUGCAUACAUUUUAUCUAUUGCUGCAGCAGUUGCACAUUUUUGUGGUAUUCGAUUGAAGUUUUGGUAGGGGAGCUUAGUCUAGUUUACUCUAAUUUCAUUCAUUCUUUAACCCCUCCAUUACAUGACUGUUCUUAAUUGUUAUACUUGUAAUAGAUCCUGUGUGUCUACAUUAGAUUCUGAAAUCGAGGCAUUGGAUUCACUUCUAUUCGCUGUGGCUGAACAAUCUUAUAUUUUUCCCUCACUCCCUCUCUCAUUCCCUCCAUAGAAGAGGAAAAAAAAGUACCUGUUGAUUUAACCGCGAUACAGAACACUAUUUCUGCUCAUUAGAAAAUGCUCAUUGAGAAGGGUAUGAGAGAAAUGGGCGAAACAUACUCACAUGAGCAUGUUAUUGCAGCCCAAAUCAUAUGCUCUUGCUGUGCUGCAACACCCAAAAGGAGCAUGUGUGACAGGAAGCAGCAGACAGAGUGAGGCCUAAAUCCCUUUUUUGCAUUCUUUGUGCAUGCAUCGGAAUGGAUUGUCUGUGGCCGUACAUAAAUAUCAAAUACUCGGGCAAGAAAAGGAAGCCAAGCUCAAGCCCCAUUUGAGAAAUGGUAUUAACGGGUCCCCAUACGGUCCCAGAAAAAAGGAAGUGGGAAUACUAGUGCUAAUAAUACUCCUUCCGUCCCAGUUUAUGAUACUUUUUGCAGCUCUAGAUUCAGGCUAUAUGAACUUUGAACAAUAUUUUAAAUUGUAAAUUUUUCAUCAUAUUGA